rnacentral:misc_RNA from 1 species
GAAUGUGGAAGCUUCUCGUCGAUAACGUUCAUUUCCGGCGUUUCAUUUUUUGACUUCCUGAAGGGACAGAAGGAUACUGUGAUUUCGAGAAUUAUUUUACUCAUUGUUCCUUUUCAAGCCCGAUUAUAUUUUGCUUUCAGACGUUUCCUCCACUUUGGGGGAAACAUUUGAUCAACGUUUGUCGUUCUGAGCAGUAGCCAUGUCCCACUCCAGGGGACCAUCUGACUGCAAGGUGUAUGUGGGGGAUCUAGGAAGCAAUGCAUCUCAGACUGAGUUGGAGGACGCAUUCUCUUAUUAUGGGCCGCUGAAGAACGUAUGGGUAGCGCGAAACCCGCCGGGCUUCGCGUUUGUGGAGUUUGAAGAUCCCAGAGAUGCCAGAGACUCUGUCCGGGGUCUAGAUGGAAGGACUGUCUGUAACCGGCGCAUUACCGUGGAGAUGUCGACCGGACGCACACGGAACCGUGGCGGCAGCUGGCGGCCCACGGUGGGCUCGGGCCGCUACGGGCGCGGCUGGGACCCGGCCGACCGCUGCUACGACUGUGGCGAGAGCGGGCACUACUCCUACGACUGUCGCAACAAGCGGCCCAUCCGCAGGGGAUGAUUGCGUGUCUGUGGCCCAGCUGCGACGGCACAUCGUCCCCGCCUGCGCCUUAGCACACCACCCCCGCCCGCGCGCGCGCGCCGCUCCUUCCACCCGACCGGCCGGUAGCCGGUCUGCGCAGACACUGGACAGCCACCAGACCGUCCGUCCGUCCGUCCGUCCGUCUGACUUUGAGCGUCAUCGGGCCGCCACAGCACGGCGGACAUUCACGGUCUUCUAGUUUGUCCUUGAACUUAUUCGAUCACUUCAAACGCGACAUGUAACACCCACCACGCGCUGCGGCAUCGCCGGCGGUCGGCCGGCCGCCAAUUUGCGAGUCUUCCUCACGUGUGUUGUGCACGUGCGACUACUUCGUCCGGUCCCUGUGCGGGCGGCCGCCGCCCUGCGGAGCGUCGACCAGCGGCCGCCCGACAACCCGCCGCCAGCUGCACUCUGCCCGCCCGCCCGGCCUGCGUGGACGACUCCCUCGUGAGAGCCCUCCGCCGGGCAGAUCCCGCAGCCGUGACCGUCGCUCUCGCUCGCGCACGCCCACCAAGAGGAGCAGGAGGUCUCCGAGCCGCUCCUACUCGCGCAGCCGCUCCCGUGACCGCUCCAGGUCUCGCACCCCGAAGCGCGCUGCCUCUCGCUCGCCGAGGAGGAGCUCGCGCUCUCCGCGCCGGAACGGCAGCUCGCGCUCUCCAACUUCGCGGCGCCGCGACUGAGUAACGCCAUCAGGAAGACCGUUUUGAGUGAAGCGACGCCCCGCCUGCCGCAUUCCCCGAGAUAAACUGGCCCGGCCCGCGCUACAUCCGAUCAGAGGGACAUGGCCCAGUCAUCCAAGAGCCGGUCAUUGGUGUGUGUUCGUAGUUGAUGUUCGCCCAUGGUUUCGGCGAGUUCUGUGCUUCGUUUCUGUAUCCGCCGCGCCGAGCGAGACUACGGCCGACCGACUACAGCCGACUAUCGUGUAUCAUGUUAUUGGGUUCAUCUUGAAGGCCAUUGUACCUGCACGUUUGUGGCUCUAAAUACACGGCUUAGGCACUGCGUGUCUGAAAAAAAUGGUUGU